rnacentral:rRNA from 1 species
UACGAAGGGAGCUAGCGUUGCUCGGAAUCACUGGGCGUAAAGGGUGCGUAGGCGGGUCUUUAAGUCAGGGGUGAAAUCCUGGAGCUCAACUCCAGAACUGCCUUUGAUACUGAAGAUCUUGAGUCGGGAGAGGUGAGUGGAACUGCGAGUGUAGAGGUGAAAUUCGUAGAUAUUCGCAAGAACACCAGUGGCGAAGGCGGCUCACUGGCCCGAUACUGACGCUGAGGUGCGAAAGCGUGGGGAGCAAACAGGG